GAUGAACGCUGGCGGCGUGCCUAAUACAUGCAAGUCGAGCGAACAGACGAGGAGCUUGCUCCUCUGACGUUAGCGGCGGACGGGUGAGUAACACGUGGAUAACCUACCUAUAAUACUGGGAUAACUUCGGGAAACCGGAGCUAAUACCGGAUAAUAUAUUUAACCGCAUGGUUCAAUAGUGAAAGACGGUUUUGCUGUCACUUAUAGAUGGAUCCGCGCCGCAUUAGCUAGUUGGUAAGGUAACGGCUUACCAAGGCAACGAUGCGUAGCCGACCUGAGAGGGUGAUCGGCCACACUGGAACUGAGACACGGUCCAGACUCCUACGGGAGGCAGCAGUAGGGAAUCUUCCGCAAUGGGCGAAAGCUUGACGGAGCAACGCCGCGUGAGUGAUGAAGGUCUUCGGAUCGUAAAACUCUGUUAUUAGGGAAGAACAAAUGUGUAAGUAACUAUGCACGUCUUGACGGUACCUAAUCAGAAAGCCACGGCUAACUACGUG
rnacentral:rRNA from 1 species